rnacentral:rRNA from 1 species
GACGAACGCUGGCGGCGUGCUUAACACAUGCAAGUCGAACGAAGUGGCGAACGGGUGAGUAACGCGUAAUCAACCUGCCCUUCAGAGGGGGACAACAGUUGGAAACGACUGCUAAUACCGCAUACUGAAGGAGGGGAUUGCGUGUGAUUAGCUAGUUGGAGGGGGAACGGCCCACCAAGGCGAAGAUCACUAGCCGGACUGGGAGGUUGGACUGCCACAUUGGGACUGAGACACGGCCCCGACUCCUUCGGGAGGCAGCAGUGGGGAAUCUUCCGGAAUGGGCGAAAGUCUGGCGGAGCCACGCCGCGUGAGUGAUGACGGCCUUCGGGUUGUAAAGCUCUGUUAAUCGGGACGCGGUACCGGAAUAGAAAGCCACGGCUAACUACGUGCCAGCAGCCGCGGUAAUAC